UUGUCUUCAGGGCAGGGUGAACGCGUCAGCGUGAUUCCCGACCGGCGGUAAAGUCCGCAAGCUGCAAAGCACGAUCCGGUGCAACUCCGGAACCGACAGUACAGUCUGGAUGGAAGAAGAU
rnacentral:ncRNA from 1 species